UACGAGUGGCUCAAGCGUUAUCCGGAAUUAUUGGGGCGUAAAGGAUGUGUAGGUGGUUAUAUUAGUCGAAUGUCUAACCUUCCGGGCUUUACCUGGAUUCAGCAUUCGAAACGGUAUGACUAGAGUAUGUUAGGGGUGAGCGGAACUCAUAGUGUAGGGGUGAAAUCCGUUGAUAUUAUGGGGAACACCAAAAGCGAAGGCAGCUCACUGGGACAUUACUGACACUGAAACAUGAAAGCGUUGGG
rnacentral:rRNA from 1 species